UACAAACUGAACUGUUGGAGGGCAUGUAC
rnacentral:piRNA from 1 species